rnacentral:rRNA from 1 species
UACGGGGGGAGCAAGCGUUGUUCGGAUUUACUGGGCGUAAAGGGCGCGUAGGCGGCGCAACAAGUCACUUGUGAAAUCUCCGGGCUUAACCCGGAGCGGCCAAGUGAUACUGUCGUGCUAGAGUGCGGAAGGGGCUACUGGAAUUCUCGGUGUAGCGGUGAAAUGCGUAGAUAUCGGGAGGAACACCGGUGGUGUAGACGGCUUACUGGACCACGACUGACACUGAGGCACGAAAGCGUGGGUAGCAAACAGG